CGUAGGUCCCGAGCGUUGUCCGGAUUUAUUGGGGCGUAAAGCGAGCGCAGGUGGUUUAUUAAGUCUGGUGUAAAAGGCAGUGGCUCAACCAUUGUAUGCAUUGGAAACUGGUAGACUUGAGUGCAGGAGAGGAGAGUGGAAUUCCAUGUGUAGCGGUGAAAUGCGUAGAUAUAUGGAGGAACACCGGUGGCGAAGCGGCUCUCUGGCCUGUAACUGACACUGAGGCUCGAAAGCGUGGGAGCAAACAGGAUU
rnacentral:rRNA from 1 species